rnacentral:rRNA from 1 species
AUGAACGGACAGUAUACGUCGAAACCAGCAGGCCCACUUACAAAAGAAGCUAGAGAAUCUAUUAUCAGGAGGAAACAACAACUAGAAGAAAAAAGGAGUAAUAGAUGCAGGAAUACACAGGAAACUACCAAUAAAAAAGAAGAAGAUUCUUCACGAAAGAGAAAGGAACAAAUCAAAGAAAUAAGAGAUGUCAAGCGUUCAAGGAUAAAUGGGAGGGACAAUGACCUUGAAAGCAAUAUCAUAGAAACAAGCAGCAGCACUACAUCCAGAAUUUAUUUUAGCACGAUAUGGAACUUUGGAAAGCCAACAUAUAGAUGCGAACAUUGCAAUGCAAUACUAAGGUGUGAAGAAAGAUUAAAUUCUCAUAAAGGAACCAAAAAGCCUUCUUUCGGAAUUUGCUGCAAACAAGGUAAAAUUGACCUACCAAAGAUAGCAUAUCCUCCACCUUAUCUCACCGGACUAUUAACGGGUGAAGGAAGUGAUGCAACAAACUUCAGAGAAAAUAUUAGGUCAUACAACUCAAUGUUCUCAUUCACAUCAAUGGGAGGAGCUGUUGACAAAGAAAUAAACAAAGGCAAAGGACCAUAUGUUUUUAGACUGCAUGGCCAGAACUAUCACCACAUCGUAAGUCUACUACCUGAAGAAGGUAACAAACCUCGAUUUGCCCAGUUGUACAUCUAUCAGACAGAAAAUGAGGUCCAAAAUAGGAUAGAUGCUUCAAGAUGCAAUGAUAAAAAAUCAACGGUGGACACUGCCAUUGUCAGAAAGCUACAAAAUAUGCUUGAUGAGAACAACAUCCUCGCAAAAUCUUUCAGAAUGGCAAGAGAUAGAUUCAAAGAAGAAGACUACUAUGAUUACACACUUCGGAUACUUGGGAAAAGGAACAGAACACACAACCUUCCAUCUGCAUCCGAAGUUGCAGCAUUGGUUGUAAGAGAUCCAACUGGAGAGAGCGAAGGAUGA